CGCUGGCGGCGUGCCUAAUACAUGCAAAGUCGAACGGUCUUUCUAUGGAAGCUGCUUCCACUGAGAAGAUAGUGGCGAACGGGUGAGUAACACGUGGGUAACCUGCCCAUAAGAGGGGGGAGUAACAUCCGGAAACGGGUGCUAAUACCGCAUAGUUUUCUUGAUCGCAUGAUCGGGAAAGGAAAGACGGCCUUCGUGCUGUCGCUUAUGGAUGGACCCGCGGCGUAUUAGUUAGUUGGUGAGGUAACGGCUCACCAAGACGAUGAUACGUAGCCGACCUGAGAGGGUGAUCGGCCACAUUGGGACUGAGACACGGCCCAAACUCCUACGGGAGGCAGCAGUAGGGAAUCUUCCGCAAUGGACGAAAGUCUGACGGAGCAACGCCGCGUGAGUGAAGAAAGGUUUUCGGAUCGUAAAACUCUGUUGUCAGAGAAGAACAAGUUGGAGAGUAACUGCUCCAGCCUUGACGGUAUCUGACCAGAAAGCCACGGCUAACUACGUGCCAGCAGCGGC
rnacentral:rRNA from 1 species